UACGGAGGAUCCAAGCGUUAUCCGGAUUUAUUGGGUUUAAAGGGUGCGUAGGCGGCCUAUUAAGUCAGGGGUGAAAGACGGUAGCUUAACUAUCGCAGUGCCUUUGAUACUGUAGGGCUUGAGUAUAGUUGCCGUUGGCGGAAUAUGACAUGUAGUGGUGAAAUACAUAGAGAUGUCAUAGAACACCGAUUGCGAAGGCAGCUGACGAAACUAUAACUGACACUGAGGCUCGAAAGUGCGGGGAUCAAACAGG
rnacentral:rRNA from 1 species